GCUGGGUGUGGUGAUGCACGCCUGUAAUCCCAGCAGCUCAGGAGGCUGAGGUAGGAGGAUCAAGUUCAAAGCCAGCCUCAGCAACUUAGCGAGACCCUGUCUCUA
rnacentral:sRNA from 1 species